UUCCUGAUGCUCAUCUAAUGUACAUAAAUUCUAAAGGUGAGCCCUCGAUUUGAUUUAUAGAUUAUAACUAUGUAACUCAGAGAGAUAUAAAAGCAGAAAAUGUCAUGGAGGAAGUACCAUUAGAAGGAAUGAACAUUGAAGUAAUAUUAGAAGAAGAAUUUGCAGUAGACCUAGUAAUAGAAAAAGUAAAAGAGAUAAGUUACAGCAACAUAAAUAAACUGUUUAAAUGUAAAGGAUGUAAACUAGGAAAUUUAGACUUAAAAAAGUUAACAUCUCAUUUUAAAAUAUGUGAAUUCAGGACAGAUAAUAGAGGCUAUAGAUUAGAAAAAAUAUUACAAGAAAAAUUAGAAAAAGCUAAUAAUAUAAUAAAAGAAAUACAAGAAAGUGAUAGCGAGACAACUGAGUUAGAAUCUAUAAUUAGCCAAAAAGAACUGUCACGACCCAAAUCGGGUUGCGACUGGCACCCACACUUUCCCUCCUAUGUGAGAGAACCAACCAAUCUAACCUUAACAUUUCAAUAUAAUAUCAACAGAAAGUAAUGCGGAAGACUUAAACUCAUUAAAUAAAGACCAAUUCAUUAACUUCUAAAAUUCAACAUCUAUUAUUCCCCCAAAAUCUGGAAGUCAUCAUCACAAGAACAUCUACGAUCAAAUGACUAAACUAAGAAUAUUCUAAAAGCUAAAAAUACAUAAGAAGCUAGUCCAUGCCGGAAGUUCAAGGCAUCAAGACUUGAAGAAGGAGAUCCAGUCCAAGCUAGAAGCAUUAGCUCACCCUGAAUUUCCGAUAUAGUAAGACUGGCUUGAAUUACUGUUGAAUUGAAGACGAUGGCAUGUUUGCUGCACUUCACAAAUAAACAAGAAGAAAACAUAAAAGUAGGGGUCAGUACAAAACACGGGUACUGAGUAGAUAUCAUCGGCCAACUAAAAAUAGAAAACAAUAUAUACAAGUAAUAUCAUAAACUCAACUAUGAUACUCAACAUGUAGCAACAACAAGUACUAUAUCAUUAACCAUUACCAUCAAGUUCACACAUGAGGACUCAAGCCUCAAUACUAUACUCAUUUGGGAAUUAUGUUCUUUAGAUUGAGUAUAUUAACAUCUUUCAAGAUUCAUUAUCUUUAUUUCUCUUGUGUCGGUACGUGACACUCCGCUCCCUCAUAUUCAUUAAUCCUCUUGUGUCCGUACGUGACACUCCGAUCCCCUAAAUCUACGUGUCGGUUCGUGACACUCGAUCCCCUAAAUCUACGUGUCGGUUCGUGACACCCGUUCCCCUAAUUCUACGUGUCGGUUCGUGACACCCGAUCCCCUAAAUCUACGUGUCGGUUCGUGACACCCGAUCCCCUAAUUCUACGUGUCGAUUCGUGACACCCGAUCCCCUAAAUCUACGUGUCGGUUUGUGACACCCGAUCCCCUAAUUCUACGUGUCGGUUCGUGACACCCGAUCCCCUAAUCUCUUUCUAUCAAUUCAUCAAGCCUUCUUUCUCACCAAGGCAUCAUCAAUCUCAUUACUUUAGUUCAUCAAGCCUUCUUUUAUAUCAAGGCAUCAUCAUUAACAAGAGAUUAGGUUUUUAUCAAGAUUUGGGAUUCAAUAGCUUCAUCAUGCUUAAUAUAAUCACAAUUAUAUAAUCACGUUCAUGCAUGCGUACAAUUAAGCACAUAGCAGGGUUUUACAAUACUACCAAUACAUAUCAUUCUCUAUUAAGAGUUCACUAUGAAAGCAUGAAAACCAUAACCUACCUCCAUCGAAGACUAGUGAUCAACAAGCUAUCUUCUCAAAAUCCUUGCUAUCCUCUUCAUUUCUCUCUCUCUCUACUCGUUCUCUUUCUUUUUCUGUCUCUCCUUGUUCUUUCUAUUUUUUCUUAUUCAAACCCUCUUUCUUUUACCCUAAUGAACAUAUAAUUAAGAAUAAAAGAUGGUAAUAAUGCCCCACUAAUUAACUUAAGGUUACCUCUUUUAACCCCCAAGUAAUUAGACUUAUUAACAUUAACCCACUAACUUUGUAAUUAAGGCAAGAAUAGUCAAAAACGUCCCUUAAAACGUAUGAAGAAAUCCGACCCAGACUGGGAUUUGCACAACGUGUGACGGGUCGCCGUGCCUGCGACGGUCCGUCCUGCAGGUCGUCGCAAAGUUCAGAGACCCAAAUUUCCACCAAGGGUCUGUGACGGUCCGUCACACCUAUGACGGUCCGUCCUGCCAUUUCGUUACGAAGUUCAGAGAGUCAAUUUUGAGUACCCAAUUUUUAGUUUUUCUAAGUGUUUUGAAACGAGACCCUGCAAUGGUCCGUCGUGCCAUGACGGUCCGUCGUUGGGUCCGUCGCCUCAGCCUGUUUUUCCAGAAUAAAAUCUACUGCUCAAAACGACUAAACAGGUCGUUACAACAGAUACCAAUUUACCCAUCGUUCGUCCCCGAACGAUCAAAAGAAGGAAAACAAGGGCGAAAAGGAGUACCUGAAUCUGUAAACAGAUGUGGGUAUUUUUCUCGCAUAUCCGCCUACUUCUCCCAAGUGGUUUCUUCAACGGGUCGAUUCUUCCAUUGCACCUUGAUGGAUGCAAUCUCUCUUGACCUCAACUUGCGAACUUCUCUAUCUAAAAUAGCAACAGGCUCCUCCUCAAUAAGACAAGUUCUCAUCAAGCAAAACUGAAUCCCAACGGAUAAUGUAGUUUCUAUCCCCAUGGUAUCUUUUCAACAUCGACACAUGGAAUACCGGAUGUAUUCCGGACAGCCCUGGAGGCAAGGCUAACUCAUAAGCCACCUCUCCUACUCGCUUAAGUACUUCAAAUGGUCCAAUGUACCUUGGACUUAGUUUACCCCUUUUACCAAACCGCAUCACCCCUUUCAUUGGUGAAACUUUCAACAAGACUUGUUCACCCUCCAUGAACUCUAAGUCUCUAACCUUUCGAUCUGCAUAUUCUUUUUGUCUACUUUGCGCCGCUAGAAGCUUUUCUUGAAUAGACUUCACUUUCUCUAUCGAAUCCCUCAAAAGGUCAGUACCCCAAGGCCUAACCUCAAAUGCAUCAAACCAACCAAUGGGAGACCUACAUCUCCUACCAUACAAUGCUUCAAAUGGAGCCAUAUCAAUGCUUGAGUGAUAGCUAUUAUUGUAUGAAAACUCCGCUAAGGGUAGGAAGCUAUCCCAAUGGCCACCAAACUCUAUCACACAUGCACGAAGCAUAUCUUCCAACACUUGAAUCGUUCUCUCAGACUGACCAUCGGUCUGAGGAUGGAACGCAGUACUAAGGUCCAACCUAGUACCCAAUUCCGCAUGCAAUGUUUUCCAAAACUUAGAAGUAAACUGCGUACCUCUAUCUGAUAUGAUGGAUAGUGGAACCCCAUGCAAUCGCACCACUUCCGAGAUGUAAAGUUUGGCUAAGUUCUCUGCAUUGUAAGUCACCUUGACCGGAAUGAAGUGAGCAGACUUAGUUAACCUAUCAACAAUUACCCAAAUAGAAUCAAACUUUCCCAAUGUCUUGGGAAGACCAACCACAAAGUCCAUUGCAAUUCUCUCCCACUUCCAUUCAGGAAUGGGCAUUCUCUGAAGUGUUCCUCCGGGCCUCUGGUGUUCAUACUUUACUUGUUGACAGUUUGGACACUUGGCAAUAAAGUCAACAAUAUCACGCUUCAUUCUACUCCACCAAAAGUGUUGCUUUAGGUCACGAUACAUCUUGGUUGCACCCGGAUGUAUAGAAUACCUUGAACUAUGAGCCUCUGUCAGAAUAGUGUUGAUCAAAUCAUCGACGCGGGGUACGCAUACCCUUCCCUUGAUCCUCAAAACACCUUCCUCAUAAAUUUGUGCUUCCUUAGCCUCUCCUCGCAAUACCUUAUCUUGAAUUCUGCGCAGUUUCUCAUCAUCAGACUGUCUUCCCUUAAUCUUGUCAAGAAAGGAAGAUCUUGCCUCCACAGAAGCCAACAAUCCUCCCUUCUCAUUUACUUCUAAUCUCAUCAAGUCAUUAGCUAGAGUCUGAACCUCUCUAGCCAGUGGGCGUCUAGAAGCUUGCAAGUGAGCUAGACUUCCCAUGCUUCCCGCCUUUUACUUAGAGCAUCCGCUACAACAUUCGCCUUCCCCGGAUGAUACAAAAUAGCGAUGUCGUAGUCCUUCAGUAGUUCUAUCCAUCUCCUCUGCCUCAAGUUCAAAUCUUUCUGAGUAAAAACAUACUGAAGGCUACGAUGAUCCGUGUAGACCUCACACUUAACCCCAUAUAAAUAGUGUCUCCAUUGCUUUAAUGCAAACACCACCGCAGCCAAUUCCAAAUCGUGGGUCGGAUAGUUACGUUCAUGCACCUUUAAUUGCCUUGAAGCAUAAGCAAUCACACUCUUCUCUUGCAUUAGUACUGCACCCAAACUAGAAUAGGAUGCAUCACAAUAAACAAUGAAGUUCUUACCCUCUACUGGCAAGGUAAGGAUAGGUGUGGUAGUCAACAAAGUCUUGAGCUUCUGAAAGCUUUCCUCACACUCAUCCGACCAUACAAAUGGAACAUUUUGCUUAGUCAAGUUCGUCAGUUGGGAAGCAAUAGAAGAGAAUCCCUUGACGAAUCGACGGUAGUAGCUAGCUAACCCAACAAAGCUCCUUAUUUCUGACACAUUAGUAGGUCUUACCCAAUUCUUUACUAUCUCAAUCUUAGAAGGAUCCACCAUCACUCCUUCUUUAGAAACCACGUGCCCCAAGAAGGACACUGCAUCUAGCCAAAACUCACACUUAGAGAACUUGGCAUAAAGCUUUUUCUCCCUCAACAUUUCCAAUACCAUUCUCAAAUGCUCUUCAUGUUCCUUCUUGCUCUUUGAGUAUACCAAUAUAUCAUCAAUAAAUACGAUCACGAAGAGGUCCAAAUAUGGCUUAAAAAUCCCGUUCAUCAAGCUCAUGAACGCAGCAGGGGCAUUCGUAAGACCAAAAGACAUCACUACAAAUUCGUAAUGCCCAUACCUCGUUCGAAAAGCAGUCUUUGGCACAUCCGUUGCCCGUAUUUUCAACUGAUGAUAACCGGAUCUCAAGUCAAUCUUAGAGAAGACACAAGCACCUUGUAACUAAUCGAACAAGUCAUCAAUGCGAGGAAGAGGAUACUUGUUCUUUAUGGUUACCUUAUUCAGUUUUCUGUAGUCUAUGCACAUUCGAAAACUCCCAUCCUUCUUUUUCACAAACAAAACUGGAGCACCCCAAGGAGAUGCACUUGGUCUAAUGAAGCCUUUGCUCAACAACUCUUGAAGUUGGGCCUUUAACUCUCUUAACUCUGCGGGGCCAUUCUAUAAGGGGGUAUAGAAAUGGGGCGUGUGCCUGGUUCAAGAUCGAUAUAGAAGUCAAUAUCCCUAUCUAGUGGCAUACCAGGAAGAUCUGCAGGGAACACAUCCAAAAACUUGCGGACUACCGAAACUGACUCAAUCGAAGGUACUUGGGUAGUGUCAUCCUUGUGAUGUGCCAAGAAAGCUAAACACCCUUUACUAACCAUUUUCUUAGCACGAAGAAAGGAGAUGAUACGCACCGUAUUGGAAGUGUAGUCACCCUCCCACACUAACGGAUCAGUCCCAGGCUUGGCUAACGUCACCGUUUUAGUAUUACAAUCCAAGAUCGCAAAUUGCGGAGAAAGCCAAGUCAUACCCAGAAUUACAUCAAAAUCAACCAUUUCUAAGAUAACCAAGUCUACAUAAGUAUUGCUCCCCACAAAAGUUACAAGACAAGACCUAUACACCUUUUCAACUAUCAAAGACUCACCCACCGGAGUAGAAACACGAAUAGGUAUGUCAAGCAAUUCACAAUGUAAAUUAAGACCAUUAGCAAAUGUGAAAGAAACAUAAGAAAAUGUGGAUCCGGGAUCAAAUAAUACAGAAGCCAUGCAAUCACAAACCAAAAGAUUACCUGUGAUGACAGCAUCAGAUGCCUCCGCUUCAGACCGCCCAGGGAAAGCGUAACAAUGGGCCCUAUCGUUCGUCUGUCCGUUGCCCCUACCAUGUUGUGAUGUAGUGGCUCCAGUUUGCCCAUCACCUCGGCCGUUUUGGUGACCACCAUUUCCUCGACCACCACGCCCUCCAGAAAAAUGGCCUCUACCAUGACCACCUCUACCUCUAGCUAUUGGGGGUCUGUAACUCUGUUUUGGACAAUUUCUCCUAAUAUGUCCAGUCUUCCCACAUCCGUAACACUCUCUGGAGUCAAGCAUAGGUCUCUCGGAGAAGUGUUGACCGGUCUGAGGUGGUCCCCCAACUACAGUCUGUAGUGAAGACUGAAUUGGUCGGACUGAGUAACUUCCCGAACCCUGUCCUCUAUUGUAAGCACCAUUAAACUCACCUCCCUUUCGAAACCUUUUUGAUGUCGAUGUCGUAGUGAAGUCGUCUGGCUUCACUCCUUCCACUUCUAUCACAAAGUCUACCACCUCUUAGAAGGAUUUUGCCGUUGCCGCUAUCUGUAAGGCCGAAAUCCGCAAUUCUGACCUCAACCCCUUCAUAAACCGGCGAAUUCGCUCUUGUGGACUGAAACAUAGUUGGGUGGCGUACCGGGAUAACGCACAAAACUUAGCCUCAUAUGCAUUGACCGACAUCCUACCUUGCUCUAGGCUCAAGAACUCAUCCCUUUUCCUAUCCCUCAAAGUUCGGGGGAUAUACUUCUCCAUAAACAAGCUAGAGAAUGAGGCCCAAGUCAUAGGUGGUGCCUCUAUUGGUUGACACUCGAUAUGUGACCGCAACCACAUUUUGGCGUUCCCUUGAAACUGAUAAGUCACAAACUCCAAACCAAACCGUUCUACUAUACCCAUCUUGUGUAGUAGCUCGUGACAGUCAACCAGAAAAUCAUAGGCAUCCUCUAAUUCAGCACCCUUGAAGACCGGAGGUUUCAAUUUCAAGAACUUACUGAAAAGUUCAUGCUGAUCAUUUGUCAUUAUAGGCCCAGUAGUCAGACGUGGAAAUGUGCCUAUGUCCAAUGAGGCCUCCAUACGAGGAGCCAUAGUGGCUGCAUGUUGUACUUCUGAAACCGGAGGUGUUGGCGCAGAAAACACUGGAGGUGCCUGACCUUGAUCAGAUAACCCGCUAAGAUAAGCAAGAACCUGAUUGAUCAUCUCUGGGGUAGGUUGGGGUGGCAUUUCCUCAUUUUUCACUUGUUCAUUCACCCCAUCCUCGCCCUCUCUUAUCACUUCCUCAGCCGGUGGAGGAGUCACCGCCCUAGUACCAGAUGGGCUCGGUGCUCGUCCUCUUCCUCUAGAGGACGUCCUCCCACGACCUCUACCACGGCCCCUUGCCGCUGUUCUUCCUCGAGCUACAGCCCCAGUGGCUGGCUCAGACGCACCCUGUACCGCCGGUGCUGGUGUUGGUGUUGGUGUAGUCGUUGCUCUAGUUCUAACCAUCUACGAAAGAGGGUGAAGAUGGUCAGAUACCAAUUCGUAUCGCCUAGAUACCAAUUGGACUCAAGUAGUAGCACGAAAGAAAGAAUGAAAGAGUGAAAUUUUCUUAAAGUCUUAUAGCCUCUCAAGGAAAAGUAAAGGCGUCCCCGUACCAUUCCUUAAGACUCUACUAGACCUGUUCUUGUGUGAUGAGACCAACGAACCUAAUGCUUUGAUACCAAGUUUGUCACGACCCAAACCGGGUUGCGACUGGCACUCACACUUUCCCUCCUAUGUGAGCGAACCAACCAAUCUAACUUUAACAUUUCAAUAUAAUAUCAACAGAAAGUAAUGCGGAACACUUAAACUCAUUAAAUAAAGACCAAUUCAUUAACUUCUAAAAUUCAACAUCUAUUAUUCCCCCAAAAUCUGGAAGUCAUCAUCACAAGAACAUCUACGAUCAAAUGACUAAACUAAGAAUAUUCUAAAAGCUAAAAAUACAUAAGAAGUUAGUCCAUGCCGAAAGUUCAAGGCAUCAAGACUUGAAGAAGGAGAUCCAGUCCAAGCUAGAAGCAUUAACUCACCCUGAAUUUCCGAUUUAGUAAGACUGGCUUGAAUUACUGUUGAAUUGAAGACGAUGGCACGUUUGCUGCACUCCACAAAUAAACAAGAAGAAAACAUAAAAGUAGGGGUCAGUACAAAACACGGGUACUGAGUAGAUAUCAUCGGCCAACUCAAAAUAGAAAACAAUAUAUACAAGUAAUAUCAUAAACUCAACUAUGAUACUCAACAUGUAGCAACAACAAGUACUAUAUCAUUAACCAUUACCAUCAUGUUCACACAUGAGGACUCAAGCCUCAAUACUAUACUCAUUUGGGAAUUAUGUUCUUUACAUUGAGUAUAUUAACAUCUUUCAAGAUUCAUUAUCUUUAUUUCUCUUGUGUCGGUACGUGACACUCCGAUCCCCUAAAUCUACGUGUCGAUUCGUGACACCCGAUCCCCUAAAUCUAUGUGUCGGUUCGUGACACCCGAUCCCCUAAUUCUACGUGUCGGUUCGUGACACCCGAUCCCCUAAAUCUACGUGUCGGUUCGUGACACCUGAUCCCCUAAAUCUACGUGUCGGUUCGUGACACCCGAUUCCCUAAUUCUACGUGUCGAUUUGUGACACCCGAUCCCCUAAAUCUACGUGUCGGUUCGUGAAACUCGAUCCCCUAAUUCUACGUGUCGGUUCGUGACACCCGAUCCCCUAAUCUCUUUCUAUCAAUUCAUCAAGCCUUCUUUCUCACCAAGGCAUCAUCAAUCUCAUUACUUUAGUUCAUCAAGCCUUCUUUUAUAUCAAGGCAUCAUCAUUAACAAGAGAUUAGGUUUUUAUCAAGAUUUGGGAUUCAAUAGCUUCAUCAUGCUUAAUAUAAUCACAAUUAUAUAAUCACGUUCAUGCAUGCGUACAAUUAAGCACAUAGCAGGGUUUUACAAUACUACCAAUACAUAUCAUUCUCUAUUAAGAGUUUACUAUGAAAGCAUGAAAACCAUAACCUACCUCCACCGAAGACUAGUGAUCAACAAGCUAUCUUUUCAAAAUCCUUGCUAUCCUCUUCGUUUCUCUCUCUCUCUCUACUUGUUCUCUUUCUUUUGCUGUCUCUCCUUGUUCUUUCUAUUUUUUCUUAUUCAAACCCUCUUUCUUUUACCCUAAUGAACAUAUAAUUAAGAAUAAAAGAUGGCAAUAAUGCCCAUUAAUUAACUUAAGGUUACCUCUUUUAACCCCCAAGUAAUUAGACUUAUUAACAUUAACCCACUAACUUUAUAAUUAAGGCAAGAAUAGUCAAAAACGUCCCUUAAAACGUAUGAAGAAAUCCGACCCAAACUGGGAUUUACUCAACCUGUGACGGGCCAUCGUGCCUGCGACGGUCCGUCCUGCAGGUCGUCGCAAAGUUCAGAGACCCAAAUUUCCACCAAGGGUCUGUGACAGUCCGUCACGCCUGUGACGGUCCGUCCUGCCAUUUCGUUACGAAGUUCAGAGAGUCGAUUUUCAGUACCCAAUUUUCAGUUUUUCUAAGUGUUUUGAAACGAGACCCUGCGAUGGUCCGUCGUGCCCAUGACGGUCCGUCGUUGGGUCCGUCGCCUCAGCCUGUUUUUCCAGAAUAUAAUCUAAUGCUCAAAACGACUAAACAGGUCGUUACAAGAACUAAUGGAGUCAGCAAGCUCAAGUAACCCAUUCCAAAGAACAACAGAACAAGGAUAUACAACAGACAAUAGUACUGGAAAUAUACCACGUAGAAGAGUGUAUAGACAGGGUGAUGUUCUCCCAGCAAAUCUAAAACCAAUAGGAAAAAGAAUGCCUAUAGAAGAACCAAAAUACUACAGAAAGGAGGAAGUAAAGGAAAAAUAUUAAAUAUAGCAGCACAUGAUCCACAAAGAUGGAAUUCAGUAAUUGAUUUAUGAAAAGGAAUUGGUGUAGCAGAUUUCAUAGAAAAUUAUACUGAAACAGAUGCAGAAACUAUGUAUGAGUAUUUAGAAACCUUUUUAGGAGAAUCCACCUAAAGCAUUAUGGGAAGCCUAUAAGGUAGAAUUCCCAAAGGAGUUCCAAUAUUUGGCAUCAUUAGGACCAAAUCCAUAUAACUUUACAAAUAAAAUUCAUACAUUAAUAACAGGAGAAGACCCUAAUAGUGGAUUAGUAACACUACAAGAAAUGUUGUAAUAAAAUUAGGGCACUUGAGUAUAAGUAACUGGUACCAUAUAAAGAAAUUCUUAAAUGAUUAUUUUUACUACUGUACAAUUAGUGGUAAUGCUUUCGAUCAAGAUCUAGGAAAAAAGUUAUUUAAUAAAUUGUCUGGAGCUUUAGGAAGAGAAAUAGAAGACAAAUGGAGUAAACGAGAAGGAAUAUUACAAAAUCCUCAGGCUAAAUGGUCUAUAGGACAUAGGAUACAACACAUAAUGGAAAUACAACAAGAAAAGUGCACGCACCUACAAAUACAAAAAUAAUUAAAACAAAAUGAGAUGAAUUUCUGUAAAGAUUUAAUAUACACUGCUCAAAACUAUGAUAAAGACCAAUAUAAAAGAAAAAAAUAUAAAAAAUAUAAACCACAAUAUAAUAAAAGAUAUAGUAAGAAAGAAUACUUUCUUAGAAAAUCUUCGGCUAGAAAACCAUAUCUAAAUAGAGAUAGACAUGUUAAAAAAUACAGAACAGAUAGAAACUAUAAAAAUAAGUUAGAAUGUUUCACAUGCAGAAGUAUAGAACAUUUGACAAAUACUUGUCCUAAAAGAUGUAACACAAAAACUAGAAAUGCUCAACUAGUAGGAUAAUUUAAUAAAGCAUUAUUAAAUAUAAACGAAUAUAUGUCAGAUAAUGAGAAUAUUUACUUUGUAGUAAGUAUCGAUGUAGAAGAGCAGACUAAAGAAGAGAGUUUCCCCAAUUCAGAAGGAGAAGAACUAAUUAAUGAAAUAGGACUAGAAGACCUGAACUUAGAAGAUUUACAAGUUAAUUUUAUGAAAAUAAUAGAAUGCGAACAUAAUUUUGAAAAGGACACAGGUUUAGAUAGUAACCCAUGUUGUUGGUGCAAAUGGUAUCCUAGCAAAAAUAAAACAGCUAAACGUAGUAAAUGUUUUAAAGAAGGAUGCAUAACUUGCAUAGAAAACCAACUAGGACUAAUAAUCCAAAAUAAAAAAGAAAUAUAUAGAAAUGAACCUUUAAUAAACCUUAAAGUAUUAAGUUUAGAAACAAAAGUAAAAGAAUUAGAAGACAGAAUAAUAACAUUAGAAAAGGGAAAACAUAUUGAAUCACGGACAUCAUUAGACAAUCAAGAAUUAAUUAAUGAAGAAUUUAACACCUUAAUAUGCAAUGAAGAUAAAAAAAUAUUGUUAAAGUAUUAAAAAGACUUCAAUUAAUAGAAUACGAAAUAGAAACCUUAGCAUUAGUAGAUUCGGAUGUACUAAUAGCAUCCUCAAUAAGAAAAUAGUACCUCCAGAACUAAUAAAAACCUUAGCAAAGCCGCUCGCAGCCAUGCAAAUGGACGGAACACAUAAUGUAUAUAGACACUAUAUAGAUAAAGAACAUAUUAGUUUUUUAAACACAUGUUCAGAAUUCUAUAAACCUACUUAUAAAAUGGAUAAAAUAUGGGUAAGAGACUUGAAUAUAAGUGUAGAUUUUGUAUUAGGACUAGAUUUUAUAUUACAUAAUAAAGGAGGGACUAAUAUAACAAGUGAUGGAAUAAUUUUCUAAAAAGUGUCACUCAUACAUCGGUUUUAACUAGUAAAUCUAAUACCAAAAUAAGACAUAAAUCAAAAGAAAAAUAUUGCGAUAAUUGUAAAAAUAAUUCAACAUGUAGUGAAAAUGGUUGUAAUAUAAUAUCUGAAAAUUAAUCAGAAAUAGAAGAAUUAGAAGAAUUGGAUAAUUUAGACAAAAAUUAUGUUUUAAUAGAAAUAGCAACAAAAUUAUAUAAUUUCAAAACAGGAAAUCAGAAAAUAGGAAAAAUAAAAAACCAACAAGACUUAGACAAUAUUAUAAAAAUUCUAUAUCAAAUAGAAAUAACAGGUGAAAUGCCCUUAAAACAUUGGAAAAAUAACAAAAUUGUGUGUAAACUAGACAUUAUAAACCCUGAAUACAUAAUAAAAGCUGCUGCGAUAGAAGCAACUAAUCAAGAUCUGGAAGAUUUUAGUACACAAAUUAAAGAACUAUUAGAGUUAGGAGUAAUAAAAAGAUCAACCUCAAAACAUAGAUCGGCAGCAUUUAUGGUAAGAAAUCAUAAUAAAAUAGUGAGAGGAAAAGCUAGAAUGGUAAUAAAUUAUAAAAGACUAAACGAUAACAUUAAAACAAACGGAUAUAAAUUACCAGAUAAAAUAGAACUAAUAAAUAGAAUACAAGGAAAAAGAAUAUUUAGUAAGUUUGAUUGUAAAUCAGGGUCUUGGCAGAUAAAAAUGCAUCCGGAUAAUAUUGAAUGGACAAUCUUACAUGUCUAGAAUGACAUUUUGAAUGGUUAGUCAUGUCAUUUGGUUUAAAAACUGCGCCUCCAAUUUUUCAAAGAAAACUGAAUAAAAUAUUCGGAGAAUACAAAAGGUUUGUCUUAGUAUAGUAGAUGAUAUAUUAGUAUUCAGAAAGGAUAUAAAAGAACAUUUAGGACAUUUACAAACGGUGUUUAGGUUAUUUGUUAAUAAUGGAAUAAUAAUUAGUAAAAAGAAAAUGAAAUUAUGUAAAAAUUAUAUAAUUUUUUUAGGAAUUAUAUUAGGAGAAGGAAAAAUUAAACUACAACCUCAUAUAGCCAAAAAAAUCUUAGAUAUGCCAAAUAGAUUAAAUAGUUUAAAAGACUUACAAAUUUUUUUAGAAAUAAUAAACUAUGUCAGACCAUUUAUUAAAGAUUUAGGAAAACUUGUAGGACCAUUAUAUUCUAAGACAGGAAGCAAAGGACAAAGAAAUUUUAAUAUAGAAGAUAUAAGAAUUAAUGAAUGAAGAAUUUAACACCUUAAUAUGCAAUGAAGAUAAAAAAAAAUACUGUUAUAGUAUUAACAAGACUUCAAUUAGGAAAACACAAAAUAGAUACCUUAGCAUUAGUAGAUUCGCGAUGUACUAAUAGCAUCCUCAAUAAGAAAAUAGUACCUCCAGAACUAAUAAAAACUUCUUCUAAUAUUACUUCAAUGUUCAUUCCUUCUAAUGGUACUUCCUUCAGGAUGCUUUUUUCUUCUAUAUCUCUGUGAGUUACAUAGUUAUAAUCUGUAAAUCUAAUCGAAGGUUCACCCUUAGAAUUUAUGUACAUUAGAUUAGCAUCAGGAAUGAAACUUUCUCUUUUCAUAAAAUCAUCUAAUUUCCAAUCUAAUCCCGCGUUUUUUUCAAGAUUUAUCUUUAUAGGUUUUACUAGUUUUAUUCCUUUAUUUCCCAUUACUUCUACUAUAUCUUUUUUUUUGUAAUUUAAAUCUAGUAUUACUGUUGUCUGUUAUUUUUCCUAAACAUCCUAUGCACAUUAGUAGGUUUUUUCCAUUUUGAAUUUCUUCAUAUCCUUUAGUUUGUAAUCCUAUUUUAAUAUGUUUUCCAAAUUCUUUUAAAUUCAUCAUGAAGUCUGGACUUAUAUAAAAUAUUCCUCCAUUAUUUGUCAUAUCUACAUCAGUUAAUCCAAUAAUUGAUUUUUUUAGGUCUGACAAUCUGUCAUUAUAUAUUACAAUUAAUAUCUUUAUUCCUAAUUUUUUUCUAGUUAACCCCUAACACCUAUUAUUAUUAAUCCAUAUGCAUUAAGUCUUUUCUUAAUGAAUCUAUUGUUACUGUUCACUUCUUUCGCUUAGCUUUUGUUCCUAAUUACAGUCUUCUUUAACCACACCCCGGAUAUGGUCACUAGUAGUUCUUCCUUAAGAACAUUCACCAUGACCUAUCAGAUUCCUAGGAAUUUACAGGCUCAUCCAUCGAUGCUUAGGGGCUAAGAGACUAACCAUAUACUAAGUAACAUAGAUUCAUAUUAAAGAAAAUAUAUUAAACAAAAUAAACAAGCAUAAUUUACAUAUAUGAGAAGUUACUAGAUCUAAAAGAUGAAUACUUACAUAAUUAACGGAGUGAAGUUUCCCUUUAAAAAAAUUUGAAAACUUACAUAAAAAUAAUUUUUUCAAACUUAGUACAAACAAUACAUAUAUACAUAUAUAUAUAUAUAUAUAUAUAUACAUAUACAUAUAUAUAUAUAUAUAUAUAUAUAUAUAUAUAUAUAUAUAUAUAUAUAUAUAUAUAUAUAUAUAUAUAUAUAUAUAUUGUUUCUUUUUCAUGCAAUUUCAGAGACUUUAGUUUCAAUACUCAAAAAAAUACUAAGAGAAAUAAAAGUAAUAAUAAAGUAAAGAUUUAUGUUAAAACGACGAAUUUUUCAUCAAAGUAGGUCAUUAUUAAAAUUAAUUUAUCAAAGAUAAUAUAUUAUUUUAAAAUUUUACAAAAUUAGUAUAAACGUAGUUCUCAAUAAUGUUAUAGGUAACAUUUUAUUCAAAAAAAUUCAAUAACAAAAAGAUAAAACUACGGCAGAGUAAACAGACAUAAUAUGUAAUUGUCAGUAACGUCUUAUAAUUCGUACUCUAAAGCACGUUUUACAGCUAAAACGUGACUCACAGUAACAUUUCUCUGAGAUGGUUGAAAAUUGAAAUUUCAAUCUUGUACGUGCCUCAUUCAUUAUUCAGAUUUCCACUAUUAAAAUAGAUAGAUAUAAUUGUACAUACCUUCACUUGAAAUAUGUAUGAUUUUCACUUUUCUUUUUCUUUUAUACAUAGACAAUACCUUUUUAAACAAAAAGAAAAAAAAAAUGUGAGAAAAACUUUGAACAAAUUGGAGCUUGUCUUAUAUCUUUUCAAUUUCAAAAUUUGCGAAUAAAUCAUAUGAGAGAUCUUCUUCGAGUCUAAGUAAUCAUUCCUUCCAAAUAAUAGACCAAUUGGUUUCUUACGAUUAUUGAAUUGAUUAAUGCAAUAAGUAAGCAAGACAACUAUUAAAAAAAUAAAUUAAUUGAUAUCGUAGAAAAUCCCUCGUCGCUCUUUUUUUCUUGCAAAAGUAUUAUCUAUGUAUAAAAAGAGAAGAUAAGAGAAAUUUAUAUAUAAAGUUGAAUGAGACAUGUAUGAGAUUGAAUUUUAAUUUUUAAUCAUUCCAGAGAAACGUUAUUGUAAGUCAUGUUUUAACUGUAAAACGUGUUUCACAGUAACGAAAUAUAAAAUGUUACUGACAAUAACAUUUUGAGUGUGUUUACUCUAUCAAAUUUUUGUCUUUUAGUUAUUGAAUUUUUUUGAAUAAAUUAUUACAUAAAACUUUAAUGAGAAUUACGUUUAUAUUAGUUUGUAAAAUUUUAAAAAACUCUAUCAGAUUUUUGUCUUUUAGUUAUUGAAUUUUUUUUAAUAAAGUAUUACAUAAAACGUUAACAAGAACUACGUUUAAUGGCUUACUAUGGUCAAACUUCCUUAAAAAGAUACUCCCUCCGUUUCAAAUGGAUGAUCUAGUUUAACUUGGGACGGAGUUUAAGAAAAGAAAAAAGAUUUUUCUAAUCUUGUGGUUCAAAAAUAAAGUUAUGUUAAAUGUACCAAAAUGUCCUUUAAUCUUGUGGUGUUAAAUAUGUCAAGUAAAAAGUUAAAGUUAAAGUGUUAUCAAAAAAGAAAAUGAAACAUUCUUUUUGAAACGAAGUAAAAAAAAAGUCAUUCUUUUUAAAUGUAGGGAUACAAAACAACAAUAUAUCCAAUAAAACAACUCAAAUAAUUAGAAAUAGAAAUAAAAGCAAUAACAAAGUGAAGAUUUAUGUUAAUCAACAAUUGAUAUAUCAGUUCAAACUACUGUAAGUCUAAGAAGAUCUUAGUAAUUAUUUUGAGAUAAAAAAAAAUCUGCAGUUCUAGCAUUUAAGUUUUAACGGAGACAUAAGAUACAUUUCAACAACAAAGAAAAAAGACAUAAUACUCACUUGUAAUAACUUUGAAUAACCAAUUUCUUAGCACUGAGUCUCUUCACACCUAUAAACAAUCGAUACAACAUAUUUUUAAAUCACUGACUAGAACAUCUUAAUAUAGAAUAUUUAUAUAGAAGAAAGCUGAUGAGAAAAAAUAUAAGUAGAGAUCACCAAGCAACAAUGGAAAUAAUCAAUUGGAAAUUAGAGAGCCAUCAAUUCUGUAUAAAUUAGUAAUAGAGUAAAAGUAGAAGGAACAUAUAGAAGUGGGAAACAACUGUCUUCCCCUAAACUAAAAAAUAGACAUGUGUACCAAAGAUAAAAAUUCAAGGGUUCAUAUUGAAUGUUGCUACUUUACAAGUAC
rnacentral:lncRNA from 1 species